rnacentral:rRNA from 1 species
AUUGAACGCUGGCGGCAGGCCUAACACAUGCAAGUCGAGCGGAUGAAGGGAGCUUGCUCCUGGAUUCAGCGGCGGACGGGUGAGUAAUGCCUAGGAAUCUGCCUGGUAGUGGGGGAUAACGUCCGGAAACGGGCGCUAAUACCGCAUACGUCCUGAGGGAGAAAGUGGGGGAUCUUCGGACCUCACGCUAUCAGAUGAGCCUAGGUCGGAUUAGCUAGUUGGUGGGGUAAAGGCCUACCAAGGCGACGAUCCGUAACUGGUCUGAGAGGAUGAUCAGUCACCCGGGACCUGAAACGGGCCCAAGACCCCUCGGGGGGGGAGCGGGGGGGAAUUGGGAGCAGGGGGGGAAAUCUGUACCCCCCGCUCCGGGGUGUGUGAAAAGGUUCUUGGGUUUGAAAGCAAUUUUAAGUGGGGGGAAAGGGAAUUAAGUUAAUACCUUGCUUUUUUGACGUUACCAAAAAAAAAAGCCCCGGCUAACUUCGUG